rnacentral:rRNA from 1 species
CCCUUAGAUGUUCUGGGCCGCACGCGCGCUACACUGUUUGAUUCAGCGAGUCUUAACCUUGACCGAAAGGUUUGGGUAAUCUUCUAAAGUCAAACGUGAUGGGGAUCGAUCAUUGCAAUUAUUGAUCGUGAACGAGGAAUUCCUAGUAAAUGCAAGUCAUCAGCUUGCGUUGAUUACGUCCCUGCCCUUUGUACACACCGCCCGUCGCUCCUACCGAUUGGGUGAGCCGAUGAAACUCUCGGAUGUAGGCUAUUCAUAGCCCGCAGAAGAGAUUUGAAUCGUAGCGCUUAGAGGAAGGAGAAGUCGUAACA